rnacentral:rRNA from 1 species
CAGUAGCCACGGGAAUACGUAGGGUGCGAGCGUUAAUCGGAAUUACUGGGCGUAAAGCGUGCGCAGGCGGUUAUAUAAGACAGAUGUGAAAUCCCCGGGCUCAACCUGGGACCUGCAUUUGUGACUGUAUAGCUAGAGUGUGGCAGAGGGGGGUGGAAUUCCGCGUGUAGCAGUGAAAUGCGUAGAUAUGCGGAGGAACACCGAUGGCGAAGGCAGCCCCCUGGGCCAACACUGACGCUCAUGCACGAAAGCGUGGGGAGCAAACAGGAUUAGAUACCCGCGUAGUCCCUGUCUCUUAUAC